UGCGUAGGCGGAAUGAUAAGUUAGUGGUGAAAGCCCCCGGCUCAACCGGGGAACUGCCAUUAAUACUGUCAUUCUUGAGUAUAGUUGAAGUGGGCGGAAUGUAUCAUGUAGCGGUGAAAUGCUUAGAUAUGAUACAGAACACCGAUAGCGUAGGCAGCUUGCUAAACUAUAACUGACGCUCAGGCACGAAAGCGUGGGGAGCAAACAGGAUUAGAUACCCGGUAGUCC
rnacentral:rRNA from 1 species